rnacentral:rRNA from 1 species
UGGGGAAUAUUGCACAAUGGGCGCAAGCCUGAUGCAGCAACGCCGCGUGAACGAUGAAGGUCUUCGGAUCGUAAAGUUCUGUUGCAGGGGAAGAUAAUGACGGUACCCUGUGAGGAAGCCCCGGCUAACUACGUGCCAGCAGCCGCGUUAAUACGUAGGGGGCUAGCGUUAUCCGGAUUUACUGGGCGUAAAGGGUGCGUAGGUGGUCCUUCAAGUCGGUGGUUAAAGGCUACGGCUCAACCGUAGUAAGCCGCCGAAACUGGAGGACUUGAGUGCAGGAGAGGAAAGUGGAAUUCCCAGUGUAGCGGUGAAAUGCGUAGAUAAUGGGAGGAACACCAGUAGCGAAGGCGGCUUUCUGGACUGCAACUGACACUGAGGCACGAAAGCGUGGGUAGCAAACAGG